rnacentral:tRNA from 1 species
GCCUGGGUGGCUCAGUUGGCUAAGCAUCUGACUUCAGCUCAGGUCCUGAUCUCACAGUUUGUGAGUUCGAGCCCCGCAUCAGGCU